UGGCCGGUCUGGGUUUUUGAUUCUUGAAAAACACCCUUGCAGAACAUUUGCCCAAACGUUCCUCAGCUUCCUGCAAUAAAAGUUUUGAAGUUACCCAAGAAGGUUCCUUAUCAACUGUGCCCACUGCAAUUCACACAAACACCCAGACUGAGAAUCCAUUGAGCUUGGCAAGCUGGCAUCAACAGAGGGGAUUUAACUUUAGAGAAGGUGAUUUUUGUGCUCGGGGCUUGAGGUUAGCGGGAACUGUAAACUGGCUAGAACCCAGAAUCACCUGGGAGACGGACCUCUAGGCAUGCCUGGGGUGGGUUGUCUUGAUUGUAUUAAUCAGUCUACCUGUUGUUGGGUGUCUGUGAUCCUGGAUUAUGUAAAUGGAGAAGAGAGGGAGCUGAGCAGGCCCCAGGGUCAUCACUCACUGCUUUCUGAUUGUGGGUGCACUGUGACUUCCCACUGAUGGACUGUGCCCUGGAACUGUGGGCCAGACAAACCCUUUGUCUCUUGUUGCUUUUGUCUGUAUUUUACCACAGCGACAGAAAGGAAAUGAAAACAGAGUAGUCCUUCAGUCUUGCUGUCGUUUCAACUUUUUACCUUCUGAUUUCAUCUUUACGUACCAAUGCUGGGUGGACCUCUUGUGAAGAAAUUGCAUUGCUGUCUGUUGAGCCCUUCUUGGCUCAUACUUCCAGGAUAGUAGCUGCUUCACUCUGUCUGGAACUAACACUAUGGUACUUGGACAUUACGCUUACUAACUUGAGUCAGAAGACGAUGCUGAUUCCUAUUGACAAAAAUACCAGCACGUGCACGCAUGAAUUAGCUCCUUUCCUAAAGACCAAAAUGCUAACUUCUAAAAAGGAACCCACUUCACGUCUUCAGCUCACAUAACUGGUUCCUAUCUGAGCUCAGCUACUAACCUAGGCUAUAAUAAUUCUUCCUCCUUAUUCUGAGAUCUCUUUCAAAUUAAACACGCCAAUCAUCCAGAUAGGACAACUUCAGCCACUGAGUGACACUUGCGUGCACUUAGACUGUGGAUCCUGUGACCACCCCCACUUAUUUCAAAUCCGAAGACUUCAGGUGUCUGCUCUUGGAUAGUGAUUUUUCCCCAUUUUGGUCAAGAUUCUUUAACUUGACCAUUAAAGCCAAGGACCUAUCCCUAGAAAAAUGCACAGGCUCAUACCAUGGGCAUUAGACUUGGAAUGAGGAGUUCACAUUCACUAGCCGCAGCCCCACCCAAACCAAGCCGUGGUCUCCUAGUCAGGGUGUCCUAUCAGAACAUGGCUGGUGGAAUAGUUGAAGCAAUAACCUUCAUUUCUCUCCUCCGCCCUCCCCCCCUUUCUUUUUCUGAGACAGGGUUUUCUCUGUGUAGCUUUGGAGCCUGUCUUGGAACUAGACCAGGCUGGCCUCGAACUCACAGAGAUCUGCCUGCCUCUGCCUCCCGAGUGCUGGCAUUAAAGUUGUGCACCACCACCGCCUGUCCCUUCGUUUCUUUUUAGUCAUUUAAAUGGCAUCCUGGUUUUGAGGCAAGAACCAGAAAUAAACUCAAAAGGUCCACUGUGAAAGAAAUUACAAUCAAAGUUGGGUCUUCAAAAUAAGCCGGCUUCUAGAACUGAAACAAACUUUCCAUUGGGUAAAUUUUCUCUAGGAGUGUCUGUUUCUGAUGGGAGGAGGGGUUUCCAGAGUGCACUAACUCACAUGCUAAUUAGUAGGGCAGCAGAGAAAAAUUGAAAGGCUCCUCAAGCUAUCAGAGAAGGCCCCCCCUCCUUUGAUGUUAGCCCUUUUCUGGGAAGAGGAAGAGAGCUAGGUAUUUAUGUCCUCUCCGUGUGCCUCCCAUCAGACAGCUCUGCUGUGCUGUGCUGUGAAGAUGAAAGACUGACCUUCACUCCAGUUAGCUGGCUGCACUCUUAGAGUACCGGCCCAUCAUAUCCAGAGGAGCGCGUUGUUGAUCUCGUACUGUGCCAGCCUGCCAACUAGAAAUGUCACCAGCUGACAGGAAAAAGAACAUAUUGGCAUUUCACAGUGAGUCAUUCUAAGGACGAUGAAGUGUGAGGAAGGACACCCAAGGGAGUUGUGAAAUUCUCUCCCAGGAGGCCCUAAGGAAGAGGGAAUGACAGGUAUGUGGACGGUUCUAAAUGCAGACAUAUGAAACCAGUAACUGUUGAAGCCAUUACUGAGAGAUCAGAAAAGGGGUCUCCAAGCAUGGUCCAGGAAUUCCCAACUGCUGCCACAGAGCUCUGCAGCCCAAUAUCUGUGACCUGAGCCUUUGACCAGGACAGAUAUGUGAUCAACCAAAAUUCCUCCAAUUUGCAUGGCCCUUAUUUACAUGUUAGAGAUUGCACAAUCGGAAAUUAUGUGCAAAGUGGCUCACAAUAACUUCCCAGAACAGUACAGCUGCCAAUCUGAACUGUGUCUUUGCAUGACGGGAAUUACACACCAUGCAAUGACUUUCGAACACCAUCUCCCAGAAGAAAUGGUUAUUUCAAGAAAAUGGAAGUGCUGGGCAUAGGAAACCUCCCUACAAGUCAUUGGUCAGGGAGGCCAGAGAGGUACUUAAAAAUCCGUAACUAAAUAUUAGGUUCCUAUUUCUGAAGACUUCAAGCAUGGUUGCAGGACAUCAGGAAAUCAAUCUCAAACUGACAAGGAAGCUCUCCCUGCUGGCUGGGUUUCAUCGCGCUAGAAGGUGCUCCACAAGCUGCUGGGGGAGGAAAGCCAUCAACGGUCUUAUUCAGCACUGGGGCCUGCGAGCUGCAACACUGACCUGCCAGCAAAGCUGUGGCCGUGGGGGCAAUAGUGGCAUGCAGCUUACGGAGGUAAGCCAUCAGUUUCUGCUAGAACUCGAGGUCUGCUCCAUGGGACUGAUGGCUUGUCUGCUCCAGGAAGCCUUGUCAUAAGCCCAGGGCUUGGGAAAUCAGAGGCCCCGGGGGUGUUGUUUUGAUAAAUGGUCAUGCCAUCACACUGCCUUCUUAGCUAUUUAUGUUUAUACCCAUAGAUUUGCGUUGCUUCCACCUUGGUCAGGGAAGCUUCUUUUUCAGGGAGUAGCGGUUAAUGCUGAGUCUCACGACUGGUCAAAAUGCUGGGAAGAAGUGGCCGUGAGUGCUCAGCCAGAGAUGAGAGGAUGGGACAUCUGGUCAACCUCGCCAUCCAAGUCUCAGAGAACAUCAAAGAAGAGUGCACAGAAAGAAUCUGAGUCACAGGUGAGGAUGAAACCUAUGGAAAGGUCUUCAUGCUAGAGAGAUGGGACAACAUUGAGAGCACUGGCUGCUCUUCCAGAGGACCCAGCUUUGAUUCUCAGCACGCACGUGACACAACUGUCUGUAACUCCAGUUUUAGGAGAGUCAAUGGCUUCUUCUAACUUCCAAGGGCACCAGGCACACACACAGUGCACAGACAUACAUCAAGGCAAAACACCCAUCCAUAUAAAACAGUUUUUUAAAAGGCUGUCUUCCAUGACAGGGCUGAUGCCCACAUCAACUCAACCCACAGCAGAUGUGGUGACCCACACAGGGUCAAGCCAGCCAAGAUUCUCCCAUGGAUUGGGGCCUCAGCAGGCCCCACCCUUGGCUAAGGAGCUACUGGCAAUUGAUGGCUGCUAGAGGAGGGAGACACUUCUCUUUGGUGAUGUGGCCACUGGUAGGUUGCCCAGGCCCCAGUGGAUGGCUCCACACACGUCUGUAUGUGGUCGCUACUGAUUGGACUCCGUGUGCUAAUCAUAAUAAUUACAGUAGUAAUAAUCACGGACCUGAACUCUGGAGGGAGAUAGGUUGGUGGGUGUUGAGGGAAUUGGAGAAAAGCACGAGGGGGUGGGAAAGCUCAAGCUAUAUUGUAUACAUGUAUGGAACUUUCAAAGAAUAGAUUAAAAUAUUUUAAAUGAAAAUUGAACAUAUUGACUUAAGAAAAAAACCCACCAUAUUUGUAAAAGAAAUCCCCCAAUGGAGUCCCUGCAACCUUCCCACUAGAUGCUAGUUACUGCCCAGCCUGCUGCCAUCUUACAGCAUGCUCAAUAAGCUAUCCCCUACUGUCCUGAAGGUAAGAUCAUUUGCUGUCUGCCGGUCUUUCCCCACUACUGUGGUGGGUACCCAGUCUUCUAUGAAGAUUCUCACUUUUUCCAUUAAAGACUGUGUGUAUUGACUUUUCUAAUAGGCCACAUCACUAAUUAUGGCAGCUUACCUCCUCAGAGUUGUAGCGCUCUGUGCUAAACACCAAGUUCACUUCACAUCCCUCUUGAGGGUCGACCUGAAAUACAGAAACUGAAUCUUAACAUAGUGGGAGCAUCACAAACAUUUUCAUAUCAACAAUCAUAUUCUUGUUGGGUUAUAGUGGGGCAUACCUUUAACCCCAGCACUCAGGAGGCAGAGGCAGACAGAUUUCUGUGUGUUUGAGGCCAGCCUGGUCUACAGAGUGAGUUCCAGGACAGCCAGGACUACAAAAUGAAUGUUUCAAAAUGAAAUAAAAUAAAUCAUGUUCUUAGA